rnacentral:rRNA from 1 species
GACGAAUCGUGCGAACGUUGUUCGGAAUCACUGGGCUUAAAGGGCGCGUAGGCGGGCCAGCAAGUCAGGGGUGAAAUCCCACGGCUCAACCGUGGAAGGGCCUUUGAUACUGCGGGCCUCGAGGGAGGUAGGGGCGUGCGGAACUUCCGGUGGAGCGGUGAAAUGCGUAGAUAUCGGAAGGAACAUCGGUGGCGAAAGCGGCGCGCUGGACCUCUUCUGACGCUGAGGCGCGAAAGCCAGGGGAGCAAACGGG